rnacentral:rRNA from 1 species
AUUGAACGCUGGCGGCAGGCCUAACACAUGCAAGUCGAGCGGAUGAAGGGAGCUUGCUCCUGGAUUCAGCGGCGGACGGGUGAGUAAUGCCUAGGAAUCUGCCUGGUAGUGGGGGAUAACGUCCGGAAACGGGCGCUAAUACCGCAUACGUCCUGAGGGAGGAAGUGGGGGAUCUUCGGACCUCACGCUAUCAGAUGAGCCUAGGUCGGAUUAGCUAGUUGGUGGGGUAAAGGCCUACCAAGGCGACGAUCCGUAACUGGUCUGAGAGGAUGAUCAGUCACACUGGAACUGAGACACGGCCCAGACUCCUACGGGAGGCAGCAGUGGGGAAUAUUGGACAAUGGGCGAAAGCCUGAUCCAGCCAUGCCGCGUGUGUGAAGAAGGUCUUCGGAUUGUAAAGCACUUUAAGUUGGGAGGAAGGGCAGUAAGUUAAUACCUUGCUGUUUUGACGUUACCAACAGAAUAAGCACCGGCUAACUUCGUG